AGGGAGCAAGCACAGAGCCUGAAUGCUCUGGUUAGCAGACUCCAUUGCCUCCUAAGACAGUGGUACCCAGAGAGAGGCAGGACACCGCCCAGACCUGUCCCUAGGAUGCUGGGGACAAGACAGGCUACUGGAGACCUCCAAUGCUAGACCCAGGUGUGUGUGUGUGUGUGUGUGUGUGUGUGUGUACAUGAACGUGAGUGCAUUCGGCUGGUCCGGGUGCCCCUUUCUUCCCACACUGCCAGUAGCCCAUCAGACUGGAGGAGGCGUGUUUUUCUAGUUCUUCGACCUCCCUCCUGCUCUUUUCCUUGGUUCUGCCUCCAGCCACAAGCAUGUGAGGAAUCUGCUCCCUGAGGCCCUGGGGCUGGAGGAUAGGGACCCAGCAGGGAGCAGAUAUUACAAGAAGAUGCCUGUCCUUGUCACGGGCUCUCUCUGAGGUUAGUGUGGGGAGGAUUCUAGAACCUGUCCUCCACAGCUCUGUCAAAGAGUCAACAAGGACGGAGUCUGUAGUCGGCCCCAAAUGUGACCCUGCUGGGACUUAACCUGUAGUAGGAAGAAGGUGGUUUGUGUACAUUCUCGGAAGGAGAAAUCCUUCGCUCUCCACCGCCCUCUUCCCCCUGCUUCGCAGGGUGCUUUGCUCAGUGAUCCCACAUGACAGCCGAGGUCUUCCAAAUCAGAAAUCUAUGACAGCUUGGCAGUUAAUUUCUUCACUUACCUGGGGCCUUCUGUUUGGGAGAGGGGAGAAACUAACUUCUUAUUCCUUUUGGGCUCUAGAACCUUCAUGUAGCUUAGCACACAGCUGGAGCUCAAUACAUUCUCACUGACUUGGGUUAGUGCAGGGGCCCUCAUAACUCCCACUGCCUCAGGGCUAGGCUGCAACUCAGGGCCAGGGAGAGGAGGGCAGAAUCAUGUCCCAGCCUGCCUGGGGCUGGGCUGAGGGUAGACAAACGGACACUUCCUGGUGGCUCCCUCUGCCCUCCCUCUCAUGGAGGACUGGAGACCCAGGACAAAGUGGAGACUGGGCAGGGUAUGGGGACAGCCUAUGGGCAGGAGGGCGGGAAGAGAAGAAGUCAUUUUUAGUGACCUACUUUCCAAAGCUCCCCUCGGCUCCUGUCUCUCUUGCCUGGACUCCCCUCCCGCCAACAACGCACCCAAGCUCAAAGCAGCAGCUUGGCAUAAUGCCACUGCAGUGUGACAAGGCCUCUCCGGAAGCCCUUCUGGGCAGCUAGCUGGCUUUGGCCUGACUGAAUGGGGGAGCUAGGCCUUUGAGGAAGUGACUUGUGGGGGGACUGGUUGCCACAGAGUGGAUGCUUGAUAACCUUGGAAUAUGUACAUGAAUUAAUUGAUCAAGCUGGAUCCCUGCAGUGGGGGAGGAAGACAUGGUUCCAGUCGGGUGACCAGCUCUGAGGAGUCCUAUCUACCCUGAGUCUGAGGCCUGUGUGGCCCUGGGAGAGCGGCCCCUGGGAGGUAAGAGAGCUCUCUUUGCCUCAAGCACAUUAGGACAAAGGGAGGGAACGGUCGGGCUCUGCCACAGGCAGCUGGGGGAGGGCCAGAAGGUCCUCCAGAGGCCUGGGAAGCUUGCUAAUGUUCCACUACCCCAUGGAGCACUGGGGCCAGGAAGGCUUGCCUGUCUGCUGCCUGGGUGCUGCUUAGUAGGAGGCAGGAGGAGGAGAGGGGACUUUCCAGGAUGAGAGCUGGAGCUGAGAAUGUUAACAGAUCUUAUCACAGGACACAGGAGAUAGGCAGCUAUGAUGGAGAGCUCCUGGGAGCUCCCGGAGCUCUGCCUGGGAACAGACUCGCUGCUGUGACGCCACUGUGGGAAAAGCCUGUGCAGGUCUACGACUUGGAGCUCCUGAAGCUCACCUGUCCCCUUGGAGCGACUGGCCAGCCUCUGCCACAGUAAGAACAGGACAGUGAAAAUGACCAAGCACAGGAGUGGUACCUGCCUCAUCUGCAGACUGUGCUAAGGGCGGCCCUGUGUCUCCUCAUUGAAGCCUUUAAUGGACUGGCAGGGGAGGGGCUCUAGUUCUCAUGUGCAGAUAGAUGACUGGGUCCUGAGAAGAAGACGGUCUUCUUGGCUUCAGAGCAGUGCCUACCUGGGUAACUGAGCACGCUCUUUUCCUGUUUGGAGACAGAUCAAGGCUGACUUUUGAUGGGGGUGGGGGAGGUAAUGGUAGCUUUUACCAAUGGCCUGGAAGAACAGCACCCUCAACCUUAGCCAGGAAUAUAUAUGUUCUCAUUUCAACAGGGCUGUGAGGUGAGAUUUUGUUUCUGAUCUAACAAAUACAGCUUGCCUGGAGAUCAGAGGGCGGAGCUAAGCCACUAGAUAACCAUAGAGGCCAGGCAGUGGUGGCAGCGGCACAGACCUUUACUCCCAGCACUUGGGAGGAGGAAACAGGAAGAUCAGGAGUUCAAGGCCACCCCGGGCUACACAAGAUUGAUCCAGUCUAAAAGAGGAACAGCCAGGUGGUGGAGGCUCACACCUUUAAUCCCACCCAGCACUAGAGAGGUAGAGACAGUAAUAAAAGGUGGGAGGGGACAGGAGCUCGGCCUCCUUUUUCGGACCUGAGGAUUCUGUAGAGGUAAGAAGUCUCUCUAGAUUCUCUGAUCUUUCAGCAUUUACCCCUAUAAUAUCUGACUCGGGUUUUUAUUAAGACCAGUCCGAAUUUGCGCUACAGGGCUGGAACCCGAGUAUCACAAACCCACAGCUGCUAACCACAAAUAAACCAGAAAAGCCUGCUGGGAAGGAAAGUCCGCUAUGUACCACCGAGCCAUCUUGCUGGUCUGAGUCCAUACUCUAUUUAGUUAUUUUUUGGGGGGGGAUAGGGUCUCUCUAUUUAGUCCUGGCUGUCUUGGAACUCCCUAUGUAAGCCAGGCUAGUCUCAAACUCACAGAGACCCUCCUGCCUCUGCCUCCUGAGCAUUGGGAUUAAAGGCGUGGGACAGCACACCUCACUCUGAGUCCACACAUUGUAACAGCUCCGCUAGCCCUGGAAAGAGUGGCAGAAAUAAUGACAUCAUUACAACGAUCACCACACUCUGUUCCACUUGCACGCAUGAAGAACUGGGACAAAACCCAAGGAUUAUGCACAAAGUCCUUGGAGGGAAAAGACCCUCUAAGGAGAGCAAGGGCCCCUGGACCAAUCUGAGUAACACAUCCCCUGGAGGGCUCUCACAGAGAAUGUGGUGAUGCCAGGCCACACAUUCUCUAGAACUAUAUACCCAAGGCAAUGCAAAACAUCUGAGUUUUCACAACACCCCAAGAGAUCAUAGCGGGAGGAAGCGUCAGGAAAGAGGUCCAGAGGAGGAGGACUGAGCAUAGGUGCUCAGUCCUCAGUGGCUGCAGCUCCGCCUUGAUCUGACUGACUGUCAGGGCACCAUCAGUUGGAGAGAGGGUUUGAAAUCCAGGCCCGGCUCAUAGCUCACUCCAGUGGGUUCACAUCACAGGCCAUGUGCAGUACAGUCGGACAACCCGGCUUGGUGAUGAUAAGAAAGGAUUGUCAACAACCUCUCAACUCUCGAGGCUCCAGCAAGUUCCAGAAAGGAACCUGAAAAGUGAUCCUGUGUCGGUGCCUGCCCUGGGCAGGCCCAGCUAGGCAGGCAGGGGCUAGACAGCUACAAUCUGGCACUCAGGCCUAGGUCUGUGGUCAACGGAUUUCUGAGUGGCUGACAAUGCCAUCCCGUCCCCUCGGCACAACGACAAUCCACACUUUGUCUUGGGCCUUGUUUGUUCCUUGUGUUGACACGUUGUUCUGCUUCCCAGCAAGUUUGGCUUUCUUCCCCUCCCUUUCCUUUUCUCCAGGAAGGAAGUGUGCUCUUUACAGAGGCAGGGCCUGCCAAGGAACAGCUCUGGCACCCACGGUGGCAGCGAGGAAGGGGCUAGCAGGAGCUGCUGUCUGCUGUCCCCCUUUCCCCACCUCAGGCAGACAAAGGCCAGAAAACACUGCAGACACUGCCAUCCACGCUGGGAGGGCCGGUGAGCAGUGGGGCACUCACUCAUUUCCUGCUCUGGGUGGGUGGUGAGCAGUUGGCUUUGGUGGCCAGAAGCAGGAUCAGAUUCCUGCUGUUGACACAGCAGGGAAUUACAGUUUGCUUUAAACCUUAA